AGCUUCAAUAGCGUAUACUAAUAGUGUUGCAGUUAAAAAGCUCGUAGUCGGAUUUCAGCAGGCUCAGUUAAGUCUCAAUUAUGAGUUCUUUAUGGGCCUGAUUCUUUGACAGAAACUUCUAUGUUAUUCAUUUAGCGUGGGUAUCGACUGUCUCUUUUACUUUGAGAAAAUUAGAGUGUUCAAAGCAGGUAUUCACCUGAAUAUUACUCUUGGAAUAAUAAUAUAAGACUUUGGUUCUAAUGUAUUGGUGAUUGGGACCAGAGUAAUGAUUGAUAGGGACGGUUGGGGUCUUACGUACUGCAAAGCGAGAGGUGAAAUUCUUGGACCUUUGUAUGACGAACAACUGCGAAAGCAUUGGACUAGGACGUUCCCA
rnacentral:rRNA from 1 species